UGAGUUUCAUGAAAAUUUCAUCAUAAAUCAACAAUCAGAAUUUAUCACGAGAGAAGCUUAACAAAUUGAAAUACAGCAGCGAAGAAGCUAACAAGAAAUUAAACCAAUGAUAUAUUUUUUUUAAAAGAAAAUUAUCAAAAUGGAAUAAAACUACCAAGCAAAACAAAUAAUCCAACAAGCAAAGUGAAAUCCAACUUUCCAAUUGCAUUAAAGCUUCCAGACUGAUUAGCAGAUGGUCCAGGAGCAGGUGCAGGAGCACUAGCAGCCACAAACUCCAAGAACCCUUUAGACUGUAAGUUGGCUUCCGCCAGAUCAUGCCUAUUUGGUAUGCCACCAUUUAAAGAUGAGCCCACCUGCCAAACCUGGUUCACACUUUUUGCAUGGUCCGGCAACUUCACCGUCGCAAAUAUCACUAUAUUGUUAUCGUCAGACUCCGAACUCAGAUCCCACACACCAAACGAUAGGUUGGAUGUCCAAGGCGUUGUGUAGCUGCUGAUGUUGUAAGUGUUGACGAUCACUGAGCUGUUGGCUUUGAAUGCUACAAAAGCCUGACUACCUAACAUCCCAGUUCCAGUGGGGUUGAUCCCCCACCCAAUCCAGCCCUCAGGUUUGGCAGGAGGAGCGACGAAGGCUAUAGAGAGAGAGGAAUUGGAAGAAUUGUAGGUGAAAUGUAGGUAGGAAUUCAAGACAGGAAGAUCAGUGCAAUUUGCAAAGAGUUUGUUGCUUUUGAAUUUUUGCGAGGUGCAUUUCUGGGAAUUGGAGGGAGUGAAUAGCAGAGCUGCUGAGAACAAGGAAAUCAAGAACAGAUUUGGGAAGCUAACAGAGGCCAUUUCUGUUAGAGAGAGAGAUCUUUCUUUCUUUCUUUCUUU
rnacentral:misc_RNA from 1 species